UGCCUUCAAAUGUGUAAGUUGCUUUGGACAAAAGCGUCUGCUAGAUGACUAAAU
rfam:Danio rerio chromosome 22, GRCz11 reference primary assembly.